rnacentral:rRNA from 1 species
UACGGAGGGUGCAAGCGUUUAAUCGGAAUUACUGGGCGUAAAGCGCACGCAGGUGGCUGAGUCAGUCGAUUGUGAAAGCCCUGGGCUUAACCUGGGAAUUGCAGUCGAUACUACUCAGCUAGAGUAUGGGAGAGGGCAGUGGAAUUCCCGGUGUAGCGGUGAAAUGCGUAGAUAUCGGGAGGAACGCCGGUGGCGAAAGCGACUGUCUGGGGGUGCCUGUGACGCUGGAGGCGCGAAAGCCAGGGGAUCAAACGGGAU